CAAGGCUGAGGCGUGAUGACGAGGCACUACGGUGCUGAAGCGACAAAUGCCCUGCUUCCAGGAAAAGCCUCUAAGCAUCAGGUAACAUCAAAUCGUACCCCAAACCGACACAGGUGGUCAGGUAGAGAAUACCAAGGCGCUUGAGAGAACUCGGGUGAAGGAACUAGGCAAAAUGGUGCCGUAACUUCGGGAGAAGGCACGCUGAUAUGUAGGUGAAGCGACUUGCUCGUGGAGCUGAAAUCAGUCGAAGAUACCAGCUGGCUGCAACUGUUUAUUAAAAACACAGCACUGUGCAAACACGAAAGUGGACGUAUACGGUGUGACGCCUGCCCGGUGCCGGAAGGUUAAUUGAUGGGGUUAGCGGCAACGCGAAGCUCUUGAUCGAAGCCCCGGUAAACGGCGGCCGUAACUAUAACGGUCCUAAGGUAGCGAAAUUCCUUGUCGGGUAAGUUCCGACCUGCACGAAUGGCGUAAUGAUGGCCAGGCUGUCUCCACCCGAGACUCAGUGAAAUUGAACUCGCUGUGAAGAUGCAGUGUACCCGCGGCAAGACGGAAAGACCCCGUGAACCUUUACUAUAGCUUGACACUGAACAUUGAGCCUUGAUGUGUAGGAUAGGUGGGAGGCUUUGAAGUGUGGACGCCAGUCUGCAUGGAGCCGACCUUGAAAUACCACCCUUUAAUGUUUGAUGUUCUAACGUGGGCCCGUAAUCCGGGUUGCGGACAGUGUCUGGUGGGUAGUUUGACUGGGGCGGUCUCCUCCUAAAGAGUAACGGAGGAGCACGAAGGUUGGCUAAUCCUGGUCGGACAUCAGGAGGUUAGUGCAAUGGCAUAAGCCAGCUUGACUGCGAGCGUGACGGCGCGAGCAGGUGCGAAAGCAGGUCAUAGUGAUCCGGUGGUUCUGAAUGGAAGGGCCAUCGCUCAACGGAUAAAAGGUACUCCGGGGAUAACAGGCUGAUACCGCCCAAGAGUUCAUAUCGACGGCGGUGUUUGGCACCUCGAUGUCGGCUCAUCACAUCCUGGGGCUGAAGUAGGUCCCAAGGGUAUGGCUGUUCGCCAUUUAAAGUGGUACGCGAGCUGGGUUUAGAACGUCGUGAGACAGUUCGGUCCCUAUCUGCCGUGGGCGCUGGAGAACUGAGGGGGGCUGCUCCUAGUACGAGAGGACCGGAGUGGACGCAUCACUGGUGUUCGGGUUGUCAUGCCAAUGGCACUGCCCGGUAGCUAAAUGCGGAAGAGAUAAGUGCUGAAAGCAUCUAAGCACGAAACUUGCCCCGAGAUGAGUUCUCCCUGACUCCUUGAGAGUCCUGAAGGAACGUUGAAGACGACGACGUUGAUAGGCCGGGUGUGUAAGCGCAGCGAUGCGUUGAGCUAACCGGUACUAAUGAACCGUGAGGCUUAACCUU
rnacentral:rRNA from 1 species